rnacentral:rRNA from 1 species
CUGUGCCUACGGGGGGCAGCAGUGAGGAAUAUUGGUCAAUGGACGAGAGUCUGAACCAGCCAAGUAGCGUGAAGGAUGACUGCCCUAUGGGUUGUAACCUUCUUUUAUAUGGGAAUAAAGUGAGCCACGUGUGGCUUUUUGUAUGUACCAUACGAAUAAGGAUCGGCUAACUCCGUGCCAGCAGCCGCGGUAAUACGGAGGAUCCGAGCGUUAUCCGGAUUUAUUGGGUUUAAAGGAGCGUAGGUGGAUUGUUAAGUCAGUUGUGAAAGUUUGCGGCUCAACCGUAAAAUUGCAGUUGAAACUGG